rnacentral:rRNA from 1 species
CCUACGGGUGGCAGCAGUAGGGAAUCUUCCGCAAUGGGCGAAAGCCUGACGGAGCAACGCCGCGUGAGUGAUGAAGGUCUUCGGAUCGUAAAACUCUGUUAUUAGGGAAGAACAAAUGUGUAAGUAACUAUGCACGUCUUGACGGUACCUAAUCAGAAAGCCACGGCUAACUACGUGCCAGCAGCCGCGGUAAUACGUAGGUGGCAAGCGUUAUCCGGAAUUAUUGGGCGUAAAGCGCGCGUAGGCGGUUUUUUAAGUCUGAUGUGAAAGCCCACGGCUCAACCGUGGAGGGUCAUUGGAAACUGGAAAACUUGAGUGCAGAAGAGGAAAGUGGAAUUCCAUGUGUAGCGGUGAAAUGCGCAGAGAUAUGGAGGAACACCAGUGGCGAAGGCGACUUUCUGGUCUGUAACUGACGCUGAUGUGCGAAAGCGUGGGGAUCAAACAGGAUUAGAUACCCGAGUAGUC